GACGAACGCUGGCGGCGGGCUUAACACAUGCAAGUCGAACGGAAAGGCCCUGGUUUUGUUGGUUGCGCGAGGGGCGAACGGGUGAGUAGCACGGGAGUAACUUGCCCUUGACUUUGGGAUAACGUCAGGAAACUGGGACUAUAAGCGUAAAACAGCUUCAUCUUCAUGGAGGGGGUUGGAAAGUUUCGGCGGAUGUAGAUGUACUCGCGGCUUAUGAGCUUGUUUGUGUGGUUGUGGCUGACCAAGGCUUUGACGGGUAGCAGCCCUGAGAGGGUGACCGGGACACUGGGGACUGAGCUACGGCACAGACCAGUACGGGAGGCAGCAGAGGGGAAUAUUGCAUAAUGGGCGGAAGCAUGAUGCAGCAACGCCGCGCGAGGGAUGACGACCUGCGUGUUGUAAACAGCAUUCGCCUGUGACGAAGCGUGAGUGACGGUAAUGUAUGAAGAAGCACCGGCUAACUACGUG
rnacentral:rRNA from 1 species